rnacentral:lncRNA from 1 species
AACGGUUCAGUACAAUACCAAAACACAAUGUAUCAAGUCGAGAUGUACCAGAGAUAAAAGGUCAGGAGAAGUGUAUGAGAGAAAGUGAGAAUCCCUAACCCUAGGAGGGAGAACUACGGAAGAAAGAGAAGACAAAGGGGAGAAAGAGGGAGAGGUAGAGGAGGAAGACGAGAGGGGGAGAGUGGGGGGCCGUACCAAGGGAGAGGCAUCGACGUCAACAUCGAUCAAGGGGGCGACGACAACGGCAUCAGGAAAAGAGGAAGAGCCUCGCAGGGAGAGGGAGAGAGAGAGAUCAGGAAGAGAAGCUUCGAGAAGCCGUUCACCCGCUUUAUAUAUUAAAAAAGGGGGGAUCGAACCGAAGGGCCAAACAGUGCCGGUUACGGACUAGUCCGGUUCCGUGUGCCCCGAAUCGUCCAGUUCGGCGAACCUUGGGUUCAAGUAAGUCAUCAUACAAAUAAGCAUUAAACAACUUUUUAUGGAUGUGUUAUCUAAGGUUAUAAACCUACAAUUCAUGAUACAAGGUUUGUUGGCCUAACCCCAGAAAAGGUUAAUUAUAUUAGGCUGACCAUAUUCUAAAAAAUUUGUUAAAUCCUAGAAGCCUUCUUUCAAAUUUUGUUCAUAAUUUUACUAAUCUUGAUGGGAUAAGACAUGGUGGCAGUGGAGGAGGGUUAACAGCAGGUCAACCUCUAGGCUUGGUUUUUUCUCACUUCAGGUA